GGCCACAGGCCUGAGAAUAGCUACCACAAGCUGGGUGAGCUUCCCAUUGAAAUGACUAAGUUCUCCCAGAUGCCACAACAGAAACAAAUCUGGACCCAGGGAUCUGCUUCAGGAUUUGCAACAACAAUUUCCUAGAAUACAGGUUGAGAGAAGUCUUCCUGGCAUGGCACCACACCACCCACCAGUUUUGGUCCAAAUUUUGGUCCAUUCUAGGGUUGAAGACAUCUUUCCAGAUCCUUCUGCAGUGCCUCAUCAUUCAUUCUGACCCAGGGACAUUAAGAGGUUUCAGAAAAAUGGACUGACACCUGCCUGGAGAGGACUUCACGCUGUCAUCCUGACAACAUCAGCUACAAUCAUGGUAGAUGGAUAUCUGCUUGGAUUCACCACUCCCUUGCCAAGCUUGUUCCAGACCAGGACCAGAAACAGACUGUCUCACUUGGACCAGAUCCAUUCAGGCUAAGACUCUCUCACAAUAGAACACAUGGUUGGUUAUAUAUAGCUCCCCGCCUUCUGCCUCUUGUAAUAUUAGUCUCACAGUUACUCUUAACUCAGAAACUU